UACGUAGGUGGCAAGCGUUGUCCGGAAUUACUGGGCGUAAAGCGCACGCAGGCGGUCUCUUAAGUCCGAUGUGAAAGCCCACGGCUCAACCGUGGAGGGUCAUUGGAAACUGGGAGGCUUGAGUAUAGGAGAGAAGAGUGGAAUUCCACGUGUAGCGGUGAAAUGCGUAGAGAUGUGGAGGAACCCCAGUGGCGAAGGCGACUCUUUGGCCUAUAACUGACGCUGAUGCGCGAAAGCGUGGGGAGCAAACAGG
rnacentral:misc_RNA from 1 species